UUAAGCAUAUAAGUAAGUGGUGGAAAUUAAACCAACUGGGAUCUCUUCAGUAAUUGCGCAUGAACCAGGAUAUGCUUAGCUUGACAAAUGGAGCUGCUGGCUCUGAAUUGUAUUGUGGGAAUGUAUUACCAACAGAGGUGCAGGUGUCAGCCAUUUGAAAGAAAGCAUCAAUGAGGGUGAGAGUCCUGUUUGUCAUGUGCAGCCUUCUGUGCACGGUGUAUAUUUGCUGAGUCACACUCCUUGGCAUUGGAAUGCAAAGUGGGUGGUAAGUUUCAUGCAAAGGUAAAUAUGCAAUUGAGACUGAUAGCGCACAAGUACCAUGAGGGACAUAUGAAAAGGACUUUGAACAGAGAAUUAAAUGAGUUUGUAUUUGCUAAACACAAAGUAAACAGACUUGAUUUCCUCAGUGAGAUUGUAGUGCUUGCUUGACAAUGGGUUUUGGCUGCAAGUGCAAUAAUUCUUGCUUUGUGUGCCAGUUUUUAUGUGGACAUUUGAUUACCUUUGCACAUGAAUGGUAAUUUUCCUGCGGGGUGUGGAUUGCAUAUGCAUGUAAUGAUUUGCAUGUUUGUUAAAUGUGUCUGGUGUAUUUGUUUGUGUCCUUGUCCUUGAGGUUGCUUUCUCCCUUGGGCUUACAUGCCCUGGCACACACAUUCUGGCAAAAUGCUUCUGCUUGACCCGUUCUUGAAA
rnacentral:rRNA from 1 species